AAAAGCAGCACCUCAAAAUAGGAACCUUAUGUCAAAACACACCAACACGACGUCGUCGGAGGUCAAGAUUUCAAAAUGGCGUCGUUUCAUAGCUUCGAUUUCCAUUUAGGGCAAGUCGGUCAGCUUCUCCUUCGCUUUGCUGUUAGUCCGUACGACCACUCCCAUUUUCAGUCUCUCUGUUAAUCUUCAUUUCUCCUUCGUCCUUCUCUCUCAUCCGCCAUUGUUUCUUCAUUCUUCACCUCCAAAACCCUCCGAUUCCUCUCUCUACACUCUCAUUUCAUCUUCAAUUGAAACAGAAUUACCUCCUGAAGAUGGGAUUUCUCCGUUUCUCACAUUUCGAAACCCUAAUUUUCUGAAUCUGUACUUUGUGUUUUGUUUGUUGUUCCUUACUCCUUUCGUGUUUGUUGAUCGUGAGAUGGACGGGACUGCUAAUGGCGGUGAUGCUGGAUUGGCCUCCGGGAGUGGCAACUCACAUCCGACGGUACCGGCUCCUAUCACUAAUUCGAACGCGCCUCCACCGUUUCUGAGUAAGACUUAUGAUAUGGUGGAUGACCCGGCUACCGAUGCGGUUGUGUCUUGGAGCCCUACGAAUAAUAGCUUUGUGGUUUGGAACCCGCCUGAGUUCGCUAGGGAUCUUUUGCCCAAAUACUUCAAGCAUAAUAACUUCUCCAGCUUCGUCAGGCAGCUCAAUACUUAUGGCUUCAGGAAAGUGGAUCCAGACCGUUGGGAAUUUGCUAAUGAAGGCUUCUUAAGAGGUCAGAAACACCUGCUUAAGAGUAUUACUCGGCGAAAACCUGUCCAUGGGCAAAGUCAGCAACAACCACAGCAGUCUCAUGGACAAAGUUCCUCAGUUGGAGCUUGUGUGGAAGUUGGUAAGUUCGGUUUGGAGGAAGAGGUUGAGAGGCUCAAAAGAGACAAAAAUGUACUCAUGCAGGAACUUGUGAGAUUGAGGCAGCAGCAACAGACUACUGACAACCAGCUGCAAACUAUGGUACAGCGUCUACAGGGUAUGGAGCAGCGACAGCAGCAGAUGAUGUCAUUCCUUGCAAAGGCUGUGCAAAGCCCUGGCUUUUUGGCUCAGUUCGUGCAGCAGCAAAAUGAAAGUACUAGACGCAUAAGUGAAGCUAAUAAAAAGCGAAGGCUAAAGCAGGAUGGAAUUUCUGAUUCUGAGCAUUCUACUGUGCCUGAUGGGCAAAUUGUGAAGUAUCAACCUCUCAUGAAUGAGGCAGCAAAAACAAUGUUGAGGCAGAUAAUGAAAAUAGAUACUUCUCGUAUGGAACCAUUGAACCACAAUACCGACAGUUUCCUAAUUAGUGAUGGUUUGCAAUCAUCGUGUUCAGCAAUGGACAAUGGGAACUCUUCCAGUUCUGUAUCAGGCGUGACUCUGCAAGAGGUACCUCCGACCUCAUCUUUUAAUUCAGCAGCUUCUGGUGUUGCUCCUCACGGCCCCUCAACAGCCAAAUCAGAAAUUCAAUCGUCACCCCAAGCUACAAAUUCUGACAAGGUUUCAAUUGCUCCCUUUGCUGUUAAUGCUGUGCGGGGUCCAGAGGCUCGAGAAGCUUCUUCCCUGUCUGUUUCUGAGACAGAUGUAAUCAUGCCUGAGCUUUCCCAUAUAUCUGAAAUGGUGUCUGAGAGCAUUAUUGGUGUUCCUGAAGUGGACUAUAGGGUACCGGAGGCAGGAAAUGCUGCAUUUAUAAGUCCGGGUUUUUUAGAUACCAAUGGAACUAUUCCUAUCGAGAUUGAUAACAUGUCCCCUGAUGCUGAUAUUGAUGCCUUGCUAGACAAUUCCAACUUCUGGGACGAUUUGCUUGUGCAAAGUCCAUGUCAGGACGAGGAGGCUGACUUUAUGGUCGGAGGAGGAUUACCAAAGACGAACGAUAUGCAGCAAGUAGAAAAUGCAUGGGACAAAUCUAAACACGUGGAUAAACUUACGGAACAGAUGGGCCUUCUCACUUCAGAUAUUAAAAGGGUUUGAACUUGACAUCAAAUGUAAAUUAGUUCCGAAUGACUGAUUAAGGUUGCCUUUCGAUGGUCGUGGAGGAAAAGACUCAUGAUGAAUUAUCUCCCAUUCAUAUCUUUUGUCCAUUUACCAAGCUGUGGCUAGAAUAUUAUGGUUCAUUUGGCUGACUUUGGAUACCGUGAAAUAUUAAUCAAAAGUCCUUGUAACAAUGGGAAAAAUCAUAACAGUUGGAUUGAUUAUACCGAUGGAGUCGGUAAAUCUACCGAAGUUGCAACCAAAGUACUUUGAAAAAAUUGUAGUCAGGUUUCUCUUUUGUUUUGUACUACGUCACUCAAAUCCAUAACUUUUCAUAUUGAGUGGAAUGUUUUCGUUGAAUUUUUGUGGUCUAACAAUGAAGUUGGAUUCCUGCUUCUUUGUUUGGAGAGAUGGGAUUUUUCUUUUUUUUAUCCUUUUUCUUUCUUCUUUUCGAGUUUAGUGGGGAAUCGAAGAUGGCCUUGCUCUUAUGCUCAGAUUUGAUUUGUUAUGCCGGGGAAGUUAAGACCUUCACCCAUUCACUUACUGUGAAUGAUUGAUGUGAUUCUAGAAUCACGUUCAGUGAUCUAGUAUUUUAUUUUUGAUUGUGCCUGCAAUUAAUUUCACUUUCAGCCGUUCUGAAAACUCAAGUACCUAAAGAUUUAAUUUUCAAAAACAAAAAUAUAAAAAAUUGAAUAAUUAGCAAAUGAAUCCUCAAAUUUGGUUUUUGUUCUCUUCGAAUAAAAGAUUCUUUUCCUUGAUUAACUGUGAAAUAAAACCAAUAGGCGAAGUCGUUAACAGCUUCACCAACGGCAACUAGUCCGUAUGGCCCUUUGGUUCAUAAAAAAUAAAAUAAAUCACAAAGAAAAUGAUCCUCUAUUUUGCCCAAAUAACACAAGAACAGCAGCAGGUAGUUUUACCAUGAUUCAGUCACUACCCAAGUUACAACAAUCACAAAAAAGAACAGACCAAACCCUUCUAUUUAUUACAGACAGACACAGAGGGGAGAGAGAGAGAGUGAAACCCCUCUCUCUCUCCUCUCAUUUUACCAGCCAAGGUGCAAAUGAGGUAAAUGCUUUGUGUGCAACAGUACAGAACAGCUAAGUGAGGAAAAAAAAUAAUUUAUCAAUAUAAUUGAAUAAUUAAAAAAAAUAAAAAGUAAAAGAAGAAGAAA